AUGUUUUUUUUUUUCUUUUUUUUUUCAAAUUAAAUUACUUUAAUACUUUAACCAUGCCUGAGUUAAAGCAACACUGACCCAGCGUGCCAGAAAUGAUCUGUGGCACUGCUUCUCUACUAUAAUUCAUCUGCUGCUUGUCAACGAGAUGUGCCUUCUCCAUACACCCACCUUUGAAAAUAUAAAAAAUCAAUGCGGUGAUGGGUUUGGAAAUAUGCCAUGGACCAAUUAAUCUGCAGGGUCUGGAUUAAGUAAACAAUAACACAAGGUGCACAGAGUCUGUCCAUGUCUGCUUUUGGAUGGAGAGCUCAAUUUAUGCCUGGUGAUGACCAAAGACUCCAGAGCAAUCUAGUCUCAGAGUCUGUCUAGAAGCAUGGUCUUGUGUGCACUGGAAAACAAAGCAUAUC